AUGGCCUCUUCAGGAGGCACGCCCCUCCAUGGUGCGAAGCAGCAGACCAGGAUCUGGAUGAGGAAGAGGAGAUCCGGGCCCCCCAACGGUGGAUCGAUCGAUGCGAGAGGCGAGGUUCUCCGACGGUGGUGGGAACCUCCAGGCAGAGAGCGACCCCAUGGAUCCGUCCCUGCAGGAGAGAAGGAAGGAGAGGAGACAGGCCAUGGAGAUGGGAUGAGUGCGUGA
rnacentral:rRNA from 1 species